GGGGACUCUUUUUAUUGCAUACUAAAAUUGUUAACAGGAUGUAACACUGAGAUUACAAUAGAAAUCCUCUUAACAAUUGAUUAGGUUUAGGGAAAACCUUGACAUUACAUUUCUACUCAUUUAAGCAGACUCUACUAUUUUUUCAGCCUUCCUCUGGAACUUUUGCCUUAGAAUCUUUGUUUUUUUUUCGAAUUCUGCACACCACGUAGCUCUCCAACUGAAACAAGUUUAUCAGAAACUUAAGCUUAUGCAAAUCAACAAGUUGUUGAUUUAGCUAAAAUAUAAUGAAAGAAACAAGAGUGACUAAAGGCCUAUCCUGCAGUUGGAGUAACAAAACAAUCAUUUUAUUAAAAAGUCAUUUUCCGAAAAGCCCUUUUUGACCACUACAUCAAUGCUAAAUGGGGCUUAAUUGUGUUUACCUUGGUCUUAAGGCUCUUGUCCUGCUCAGCCUGAGGAAACAAAUUGGGAUUGACUCUAUAUUCAUGCAUAAUCCAAGAGCUUUUCACCCCUGCUGGAGCUUUGCCCCAGUAGAAAACCAUGGUUUUCUUCAACCCAAUAACUCGCUUCUUGUGAACUAUCUUUGCAUCUACACCAGAGGCCUUCCAGAAACCUGUAUUCGUCGUCCUUUUCAACAAUGAUCCACUUGCAUAUCUUCUCUCUGUAUGGGUAAAAAAAUAUGCCUCACCUGGCAUCCCAUAUUUGAAUUCACUAAUGGGAAGCUGAUCAGCAUCAUAAUGGUAAAGAUCAAUCUCUGGGAUUAUAUUUACAGGAAGUUGCAUGCCCAAGAUCUUUCUUAACAGAAAGUAGACAAUUAACUCAUAAUCAUAUGGGGAAAAUCUAUACCCACAUACUAAAUUCAGCUCCUCCUUCAACUUCUUGUUACCAACUGUAGAUUCAAGUUGGUUUUCUUCUGUUACUUGUUCAUCUUUAACUGUUUCUUCAGGAGAAUUAUCAUACAUUGAAGAAACCAUUCUAACCAGGGCCAAAAUGAGAAAAUUGCAAAACCCUUUGCGUUGGGUGGAUCACUUCAAGCGUGGCCUUGAAUAGGAGAAACUCUGGUAUUUAUAGC
rnacentral:misc_RNA from 1 species